AUGAGCCAGGCGCAGCCCUACGCCCCGCGGAAGAGCAGCUCCCCGGCGGCCGGCGCCCGGCGGAACGACAGCCAGGACUACCUGCUGCUGGACGCGGAGCCCUGCGAGGAGAGCGCCCUGCCGCCCUACGCCUUCUACCCCGUCCGAGGCAACGAGAACAGACUAGCGCUGCGGCGACAGACCAUCCUCCGGGAGAAGGGCAGGAGACAGGCCAGUCGAGGGCCAGCCUAUAUGUUUAAUGACCACUCAACAAGUCUUUCUCUUGAGGAGGAGCGCUUUUUGGAUGCAGCAGAAUAUGGAAAUAUUCCAGUGAUUCGCAAAAUGCUGGAAGAAUGUCCCUCCCUCAAUGUGAACUGUGUGGACUAUAUGGGGCAGAACGCUUUGCAGCUGGCGGUUGCCAACGAGCACCUGGAGAUCACAGAACUUCUGCUGAAGAAGGAGAACCUGUCUCGGGUUGGGGAUGCCUUGCUUUUGGCUAUUAGCAAAGGUUACGUUCGGAUAGUGGAAGCCAUCCUAAGCCAUCCUGCGUUUGCUGAAGGCAAGAGGCUUGCAUUGAGUCCCAGCCAGUCGGAGCUCCAGCACGAUGACUUCUAUGCAUACGAUGAAGAUGGCACACGGUUUUCCCACGACGUUACACCGAUCAUUUUGGCCGCUCAUUGCCAUGAGUAUGAGAUUGUCCACACUCUGCUGAGAAAAGGAGCUCGGAUCGAUAGACCACAUGACUAUUUCUGCAAGUGCAGUGAAUGCAAUCAGAAACAAAAGCAUGACUCUUUCAGCCAUUCUAGGUCUAGAAUCAAUGCCUACAAAGGUCUGGCCAGCCCUGCUUAUCUGUCUUUGUCCAGUGAAGACCCUGUAAUGACUGCCUUAGAGCUCAGCAAUGAGUUGGCCGUGCUUGCCAACAUUGAAAAAGAGUUUAAGAAUGAUUACAAGAAGUUGUCUAUGCAAUGCAAGGAUUUUGUAGUGGGACUCCUGGAUUUGUGCAGAAACACAGAAGAAGUGGAAGCUAUUUUGAAUGGUGAUGUAGAGAUGAGCCAUAAUAAUGGAGAACGUGGCCGCCCCAGCCUUAGCCGCUUAAAACUCGCCAUUAAGUAUGAAGUUAAAAAAUUUGUAGCACAUCCAAACUGCCAGCAACAACUUCUCUCAAUCUGGUAUGAGAAUUUGUCAGGUUUAAGGCAGCAGACCAUGGCAGUGAAGUUUCUGGUUGUUCUUGCUGUUGCGGUGGGACUGCCGUUCCUUUCAAUGGCUUACUGGAUUGCUCCCUGCAGCAAGCUGGGGAGGAUAAUGCGUGGACCAUUUAUGAAGUUUGUAGCCCAUGCAGCCUCUUUCACCAUUUUUCUUGGUCUACUUGUCAUGAAUGCAGCUGACAGAUUUGAUGGCACCAAACUCCGACCUAAUGAAACAACAGGCAAUGUAAAGCAGCUAUUUAGGAUGAAAACAUCCUGCUUCUCAUGGAUGGAGAUGCUCAUUAUUUCUUGGGUAAUAGGCAUGAUAUGGUCGGAAUGUAAAGAAAUUUGGUCUCAAGGUCCAAAGGAAUACCUUUUUGAGUUAUGGAAUAUGCUUGAUUUUGGUAUGCUAGCAAUUUUUGCGGCAUCAUUCAUAGCAAGGUUUAUGGCAUUUUGGCAUGCAUCCAGAGCCCAGAACUUCGUUGAUGCAAAUAUGAAAGAUCUGACAAGUCCAACACUGGAGCCUAACAUAAAAUACUACACCUUGGCCAGAAUAAACUGGGAUCCAUCUGAUCCUCAGAUCAUAUCUGAAGGCCUGUAUGCAAUUGCGGUAGUAUUAAGUUUCUCCAGGAUAGCCUACAUCUUACCAGCUAAUGAAAGCUUUGGACCACUGCAGAUAUCACUUGGCAGGACUGUGAAAGACAUCUUCAAGUUCAUGGUGAUAUUUAUCAUGGUGUUUGUGGCUUUCAUGAUAGGCAUGUUUAAUCUCUAUUCCUACUACCUGGGGGCAAAACAAAACGAAGCAUUCACAACUGUUGAAGAAAGUUUCAAGACAUUGUUCUGGGCUAUAUUUGGACUCUCAGAAGUCAAAUCAGUUGUCAUCAAUUAUAAACAUAAAUUUAUUGAAAAUAUUGGUUAUGUCCUUUAUGGAGUCUAUAAUGUUACCAUGGUCAUUGUCUUACUGAACAUGCUUAUCGCAAUGAUCAACAGUUCAUUCCAGGAAAUUGAGGAUGAUGCUGAUGUAGAAUGGAAAUUUGCAAGGGCUAAACUUUGGUUUUCUUACUUUGAAGAAGGGAGGACUCUUCCAGUACCCUUCAACUUAGUGCCAAGCCCAAAAUCUUUGCUGUAUCUCCUACUCAGAAUCAAAAAAUGUAUUUCUAAACCAUUUCUGUGCCAAAAGAAAAGCUUUCAGGAAGAUGCAGAGAUGAACAAGCUUGGUCAAAGGAAGCAAUCAAGUAUAAGAAGCUCAGAUGAAAUCCAUUUAAACAGUUUAAACAAUCCUCCAAGGCAAUACCAGAAGAUAAUGAAGCGUCUCAUUAAAAGAUAUGUACUGAAAGCUCAGAUAGAUAAGGAAAGUGAUGAAGUCAAUGAAGGUGAACUGAAGGAAAUUAAACAGGAUAUCUCAAGUCUCCGGUAUGAACUCCUUGAGGAAAAAUCUCAGAAUUCUGAAGAUCUGGCAGAACUUAUACGGAAACUUGGGGAAAAACUGUCGAUUGACUCUAAGGAAGAAGAAAGCAAGAGAUAACCUAAACACUGAAGGAAUGAAACAGAACAUUAACAGUUCACUUAAAGCCAUAUUUCUGUUUUUCUCAAGUCUAGCUCACAUUUCUACAACAGAUUCAGAAAUUAAAUCAUUCCAAAUCUUUAUUGAAAAACCACAGUGGCAAAUCCUCUGUGUCCAUGGUAAAGAGGAAAUACCACUUGAGUAAAGGUAUUUAUUUAUUCUAUACCUGCUGAAGAAGAGUUAAUUUUAGAUUAUUUUAAUAUUCAAUUUACCUCUUCUAGAAUUCCAGUGGAAUCUUGAUAAGCCCAGUCAUGAAAGAUUAAAAGCAUAAAUCUAAACUUUUCCUACAUUAACUGGUUAUUUUUGCAAAUUCCCUUUUGUAGGCAUUCUUAACAUAUUUUAGGGAAGAAAAGGAGGAAAAUUCCAGGCUUUUACAUAUUUAUAUCAAAAGGUAUUUAAUUUUUCAAGCAUAGUUUUCCCAACUAGCAAAAAAAAACCAAAAAGAAAAGCCUUUCUUAAAAAUGCGUGGAAGAGGUAGAUAGCAGAAUAGUCAGAGCUCUCCCCUACUUAUCCCUGUCACCACUGAACUAUCCUGAAAGACAGGAGUUAGUGCAUUAAGAAAGAAGUAUUUUUCACCAAGUUUAUUGAAGAGCUAUUGCUGAGGCCUGAAAAAAACGUCUUUAAUGUAAAAUAAUUAAUCCUUGAGGUUCUAAUCUGUUCCAGAAUUCCCCAGUUCUCCAGCUUUUUUGUCUUCAACUAAAGCCCACAAACUGCAGGGUAGAGGUUUGAAUGGAAAGUGGGUAAUGUUUAUUUAAGGUGGAAGAUAGUAAACUGUUAGAUGCAAUUCUCUCUGAAUUCUAGGAAUGUCAUGCACUGGAGACUGUGUUUUCCCACAGUUAAACUUGUUUAAAUUGCUGAGUUUUGUUCAGAUCUAUCCUUAGCAAACGAAAACACAUUCUUUCAAAAGUUCAUGAAAUUUCAUCUAUGGAUUUGCAUCCCUUGUCCUUUUUUCCACUUGGAGAAAGCUCAGCUCCUGUGCUGUAUUCCCUAGGACUCCUUCCAUGAAGAAUCUUCCCUCCAUGUCAUCAGCAGCAGCCUCCAACGCUUCCACCCUGCUUUCUGCAGUUCAUCUCCUGUGUCUCCUUCUGUUUAGCUGGACGAGAGGCAGCCCCUGCCAUGCCUGGCUGAUAGGUGUGGGACUGGCCAGCUGAUAUGUACAUUCUGGACAGUCACCUGCUUUCUGGCUCUCCAGAUAGACACAGGCAAAAUUCCAUCUGAUUUUUCCCUCAGUUAAUAGAGUCAUUUGGGUUUCUGUCUUCUGACAAUCACCAAUUCUGGGGCUGUUAGAGGAUAUAUUACAUUGGGGAUCUCUGCUCCUCUUUAAGCUUGGUUGAAAUUCGUGAAAGGGCUGUGAGAAGUUGUAAUAGGAACAUCAAGAUGUAUAACUCACCCAUAAAAGCCUUGUAUGUUUAGGAAACAAGGCUGAAGAUGGCUUGUCAGUAAUUGAUUUUGAACUAGCUUGGUGAAAUUUAUUUAUUGUGGAAUGUAUCAGAAUGUUUCUGCCUCUCCCUUUUAGACUGGAGGUUAUUUUUUAAUGCGUUUAGAUUAAUUUCUGGCUAAACUUACUGAUAGCCCUUUUUUAAAAAAUUAUUGGUGAAAUCACUGUGUAUUUUCAGGGAAAAAAAGAGGGUACUGGAGUAGUUUUUGGACAGGUGGAGAUGGGGGGCUCUGUCCUGCCUGGAGGGCGAUGGAAGCUGCUGUGGAGGUGGGCCUGCCCCAGGGGUGUUGUCAUGGCUUGGGGGAACUGCUUGGCCUUCUGCUUGGCCCAUGAGUUUAGCCACAAACGGAGCGUGUGGGACAAUCCCUGUCCUUUGGGCCUCAGGCACAAUGAACUCAGGGUUUAGAACUUUUAAGACUUGUUCCUCUGAAGGAGAAGAAGGAAAGUGAGAUUUUCAAAAGUAGUAGAGCAGUCUGUAUUACAAACCACAGUGUGCUGGCCUAAAGAAAACUACAAGCUACAGAAUAGACAAUUUCAUAACUCGCCUUUAAUCAUGAGAAAGCAUUACCUCAUGACCUGCAGUAUUUCCUGUGGCAAUCAGCAGGGGGUACUGCAGGCUCUUGAGAUGACCUGCUGGAUGGUCUUUGGCAGAAACGCUCUGGUUUCUGUCAGAUGUUGUGUGGAAAAUGAAGGCGGUUGGGGGAUCUCAGGCUAGAAGGCAGCGUGAAGCUGACUUCAAGGUUUUGACUUCAAGCUCCUGGAUGGUUGCUGCCCACCUCCUUUGGCCAGGAAUGGCCACUGAUCUUGAGUUUUGAGUUCUGCUCAAGUAUUUUGGGCCUGGUUUUCUGAAACAGUGAGCACUUACUACAGCUCCGUUGAAUGAAUGACCGCAUUGGAGACCAUACUGAUCAAAGCACAUCUUCCACCUUCAACAAGCUCUUCAGAAAACUCUGUUGGUCAGAACUUGAGGUAACAAGGACAGUCAAAGUUUGCUCGUAAUCAAAAGCCUUUAUUUAUUGUCAUUAUAAUGUACAAUUUGGAUCUGCUGUCUAGUGCUAGAUGAUGGUAAAACCUUUGAUCUCCAUAAAUCCAAUGUAAGGAAAUAUGUAAACACAGUUUAAGAUGCAGGAGCUUUUCAAGUGAAGAUUUUUAUUGCAGAGGUAAAAUGGACACUGUGAAUUUGUUUAAGCCCAGAUUUUGACUUACCUUAAAACUAUAAGAUCGUAAUGUAUAUAUUGUAUUUCAUGAAGAAAAUACAUAUGGAUUUUUUUAAUUCAAUGAAGAUAUUUUAUAUGUAGUUAUUACUCAUGGAACAAUUUGUUAAAUAUAUUUGAAGAGGUUAUUGCCAAAUGUAGUGUGACAAGCAAUGUAGUAUUUAAAAUGAGCACAAUACCAAAUAUAUUAUUCUGAUAAAAAAAUUAAA